GCCAGGUGCGGUGGUGCAAGCCUGUAAUCCCAGCAGCUCAGGAGGCUGAGACAGGAGAAUCCAGAGUUCAAAGCCAGCCUUAGCAAAAGCAAGGUGCUAAGCUGAGACCCUGUCUCUA
rnacentral:sRNA from 1 species